UGUCCAGGUGGUUAAUACAGUGAACAGGAGAGGAUGUCCAGGUGGUUAAUACAGUGAACAGGAGAGGAUGUCCAGGUGGUUAAUACAGUGAACAGGAGAGGAUGUCCAGGUGGUUAAUACAGUGAACAGGAGAGGAUGUCCAGGUGGUUUAUACAGUGAACAGGAGAGGAUGUCCAGGUGGUUAAUACAGUGAACAGGAGAGGAUGUCCAGGUGGUUAAUACAGUGAACAGGAGAGGAUGUCCAGGUGGUUAAUACAGUGAACAGGAGAGGAUGUCCAGGUGGUUAAUACAGUGAACAGGAGAGGAUGUCCAGGUGGUUAAUACAGUGAACAGGAGAGGAUGUCCAGGUGGUUAAUACAGUGAACAGGAGAGGAUGUCCAGGUGGUUAAUACAGUGAACAGGAGAGGAUGUCCAGGUGGUUAAUACAGUGAACAGGAGAGGAUGUCCAGGUGGUUAAUACAGUGAACAGGAGAGGAUGUCCAGGUGGUUAAUACAGUGAACAGGAGAGGAUGUCCAGGUGGUUAAUACAGUGAACAGGAGAGGAUGUCCAGGUGGUUAAUACAGUGAACAGGAGAGGAUGUCCAGGUGGUUAAUACAGUGAACAGGAGAGGAUGUCCAGGUGGUUAAUACAGUGAACAGGAGAGGAUGUCCAGGUGGUUAAUACAGUGAACAGGAGAGGAUGUCCAGGUGGUUAAUACAGUGAACAGGAGAGGAUGUCCAGGUGGUUAAUACAGUGAACAGGAGAGGAUGUCCAGGUGGUUUAUACAGUGAACAGGAGAGGAUGUCCAGGUGGUUAAUACAGUGAACAGGAGAGGAUGUCCAGGUGGUUAAUACAGUGAACAGGAGAGGAUGUCCAGGUGGUUAAUACAGUGAACAGGAGAGGAUGUCCAGGUGGUUAAUACAGUGAACAGGAGAGGAUGUCCAGGUGGUUAAUACAGUGAACAGGAGAGGAUGUCC